AGGGUUUGAUCAUGGCUCAGGAUGAACGCUGGCGGCGUGCUUAACACAUGCAAGUCGAACGAACCUUCGGGUUAGUGGCGGACGGGUGAGUAACGCGUGAGAAUCUGCCCUCAGGAGGGGGAUAACGGUUGGAAACGACCGCUAAUACCCCAUAUGCCUAUUGGUGAAAUGAAUUUCGCCUGAGGAUGAGCUCGCGUCUGAUUAGCUAGUUGGUGUGGUAAUGGCUCACCAAGGCUUCGAUCAGUAGCUGGUCUGAGAGGAUGAUCAGCCACACUGGGACUGAGACACGGCCCAGACUCCUACGGGAGGCAGCAGUGGGGAAUUUUCCGCAAUGGGCGAAAGCCUGACGGAGCAACGCCGCGUGAGGGACGAAGGCCUCUGGGCUGUAAACCUCUUUUCUCAAGGAAGAAGAUAUGACGGUACUUGAGGAAUAAGCCACGGCUAAUUCCGUGCCAGCCGCCGCGGUAAUAC
rnacentral:rRNA from 1 species